rnacentral:rRNA from 1 species
CCUACGGGAGGCAGCAGUCGAGAAUCUUCGGCAAUGGACGCAAGUCUGACCGAGCGACGCCGCGUGCGGGAUGAAGGCCUUCGGGUUGUAAACCGCUGUCAGAGGGGAUGAAGUGUACGGGAGUUAUCUCCUGUAUUUGACAGAGCCUCAGGGGAAGCACGGGCUAAGUUCGUGCCAGCAGCCGCGGUAAUACGAACUGUGCGAACGUUAUUCGGAAUCACUGGGCUUAAAGGGUGCGUAGGCGGCUGCCUAAGUCAGGUGUGAAAUCUCUCGGCUCAACCGGGAAACUGCGCUUGAUACUGGGCGGCUCGAGUGAGGUAGGGGUGUGUGGAACUUCCGGUGGAGCGGUGAAAUGUGUAGAUAUCGGAAGGAACGCCAGCAGCGAAAGCGGCACACUGGGCCUUUUCUGACGCUGAGGCACGAAAGCUAGGGGAGCGAACGGGAUUAGAUACCCCGGUAGUCCUAGCCGUAAACACUGAACACUCGAGGAGGGGGCUUCGGCCUUCUUUCUCUUAGCGAAAGCGUUAAGUGUUCCGCCUGGGGAGUAUGGUCGCAAGGCUGAACUCAAUGAAUUGACGGCUGAGAGUGCGACGGACGACGACGAGGGAGGAGG